GCCUGGGUGGCUCAGCAGUUGAGCGUCUGUUUUCAGCUCAGAGCCUGAUUCUGGGUCUGGGGUUCAAGUCCCGCAUCAGGCU
rnacentral:tRNA from 1 species